CAGCCGCCACGGUAAUACGAGGGGGGCAAGCGUUAAUCGGAUUUACUGGGCGUAAAGGGCGCGUAGGUGGUUAUGUAAGUGAGAUGUGAAAUCCCCGGGCUCAACCUGGGAACUGCAUCUUAUACUGCGUAGCUGGAGUGCAGUAGAGGGUAGUGGAAAUUCCGAGUGUAGAGGUGAAAUUCGUAGAUAUUCGGAAGAACACCAGUGGCGAAGGCGGCUUACUGGCUCAUUCUAGACGCUGAGGUGCGAAAGCGUGGGGAGCAAACAGGAUUAGAUACCCGGGUAGUCCCUGUCUCUUAUU
rnacentral:rRNA from 1 species